rnacentral:lncRNA from 10 species
AUCAGAUUUUUGUGUUUGGCCAAGAAUAUAGGGAAGGAAGAGCAGGCAGAUAUUCCUUUUCCUGGGCUGUUUUUAAGUUAGCUGUCACACGUAGUUUCUGAGGUCUGAGGAGAGGACUGCUGCGUCUGGCUGACCCCUUUAUGAGGUUUCUGCAUUCGAACUGAGUCCUGCAUUAGAGCUGAGACCCUGAGGGGUGGAAGGUGUUGUCUGCUGAGCCACCAGCUGCUUGCCACAGGAGGGUACCAUGAUACUCCUUUUCUGUGAGUGACAGGACCCUGCCUAGGAGCGAGGCCCCUCAGCUUUGCCCCAGGCACACUGAGUCUUUGCUCAGGACAGCAGGGCUCUAAGAAGGAGUAUCUAUAGGAAGAAGCAGGAGUGAGCUCUGGAUUGUUCUCUGGGAGGGGAGAGAAGGCCUUUUGGAAACCACAUAACCAGCCCCUGAGGAUGCCUCCAGCACCCUGGACUGGACACUUGGUCUCUUGGCGAGGCCCUGACGCUGGGAUCUGCUGCUGUGCUCUGUUGUGCCCUGGCUGGGAGACCCCGGGUGUGAUACUUAACCUUCUUGGGCAGUUUGCUCAUCUGUGAAAUUGGGACAAUAGCAUUGUCUUGGAUACAUUGAUCUGAUACAUGGAGCGUUUGGAUCAGUGCCUGGCUCAUGGAAAGGGCCAACAGGGCAUUCAGUUGCUGUGUGGGGAGCAGCCCUGACAUGCUGGGCCCUUAGUGAAGGGUCCUGCUCUUCCAGGCAGGACUUUCCCAGACAGGCCUCAUGGGUGCCUGUCGCCAAGGAUCUCCCUCCCCCACCGCGCAUUGCACUGGCUUCCAAAGAUGUCUGCGGUUCAUACCCCUUGACAUUGGCAGAGGCUCUGGUUUCCCAAGAAGCAGUCACAGGGCAAGGCCACCUUGGAACCUGCAAGGUUUU